GUCUAACACCUGAUGCCCUUCCACCAUCCACAAUAGAAAGGUGCUAUGUCUCAUAAGAAAAGUUGUUGGCAUCCUCUUUUCUUAUUCUUGCCACAACUCUAGGUCUCUUUUGUUCCUCCCUAGAGACAUACACACACAAAAGACAUAUUUUAAAAUAUUCUGUGACGAACUAUGUGAAUAACUGAUUCACUUGGUUAUGUAUUUGUCACCCAGUCAAGGCAUUUGUCAAAUGGCUACCAUGUGCCGGAUGCUGGUGGACAAUGAUGAACAAGACCAUGUCUUUGCUGCUAACAAGCUCAUCGUCUUGAGGAGAGAGAGAGAGCCCCACCUAGGAAGACGUCUCUUACCACAUGGAAGAAGAAAAAGCCACCCUGAAUGUUGGCAGUUGAUCUCUAUAAUGGCAAUGUCAUACUCGUUUGUUUGACACUUGAUGUUUUGACAAUCUCUCCACAUGCAUUUUCUCUUUGGAUCUCUGCAACAACCCAGUGAGGAAGCCUGGGAAAGGUGAAGUUUAUGGGACAGAGGGAUUGCGUGACAGGCCUAGAAUCACAGGAGCUGGUGAGCGGCAGAAUGAGGUUUGGAAGGACACUUGGCUGACUCCAGACUCAAUGUGCUUAGCUUGUACACUGUACCUCUUUCACCUCCAUCUCAUCUGGUCAAGGCUGCCUUAUCCUUCUGUCUUUGCUCAACUGCCAUUUCUUUAGGAAAUGUCCCUGCUCUUCUGAGUGGAUCAAAUCCUACUAUUGUCCGUUUCACUACCCCGUUCCUCUCUGACAUCAUCACUGGGAUUUUAUACUCAAUUAAUCACAAUCAGUAACCAGUUGUUGACUGUUGACUCCAGGAAGUCAGGGCCCAUCGAAUUUUGGGCUCAUCAUUAUAUUUCUCUUUGCCUAAUGAAGUGCUUGUCAGUUAGUAAAUGCUCAAUAAUUAUUUAGCUACUAAUGAAUAUAUAGAUCUGUAUAUCUUUGACAAGAGUGUGAUUAUUCUGUACCUCUGCUGCCUCCUGCACAGCCCCCACUGGGGACCGAGCCCACAAUCUGGGCAUGUGCCCUGAGCGGGAAUUGGACCAUGACCCCUUGGUUCAUAGGUUGACACUCAACCAUUGAGCCAUGCUAGUGGGUGGGAAUAAAAGCUUUAUACUACUCCGACUAACCCAUGAAAUGGAAUUAGAAGAAAAUAUAUGAAUGAACUGGUGAAGGAACGGAUACUGACAGUUUCCUUAUAAGCAUGUUACAGGCAGCAGCAGUUGCAGUUCCCCUUUUGCUGGCCUCGACCACAGGCGUAUAGCAGGUGCCAAUGGCUGGCCAGGCCUGCAACGUCCUGUACCCAGAGAUCAUCAAUGAAACUGGCAGAGAGAAAAACAAACAAACAAACAAACAAAAAACAAACACCAGAUGCUGACACACACGAAAAAGAAUAUCAAAACCACCUGAUAGCUGGAAUUGAAAACUGCAUGCCACCAGAAUUCCUUAGUUCCCCUCUCCCCACAAACCCCCUAUUAAAGCCUUUUGCCUGCCCUGAGAUGUUAAGGCAUGAGCCUGCCAGCUUUUCAGGUGGGCACCUGAAGAAAUCACUUUCCUUCCAUCAGCACCUGUGUCCUGUGUUUGGCUUCACAGAGGCAGGCAAAAAAAAACACAACAAAACCCUGAGGGUCAUCCGGGCUGGUUUCAAUCCGAUUCAUGAGGGCUCAACCCUCAUGAUCUAAUCAUCUCCUUGAGGCCUCCACCUCCAAAUAUAAUCACACUGAGAUUCAGAUCUCAACAUAUAAAAUUUCAGAGGACACAAAUAUUCAGUCUAUAACACCCAACAAUAUCUUUUUAAAAUCAAUAGUCCCUUUAAGCUUCAAUAUCUCUUUAUGCCAAUCGCAUUGCUAAGUACUCUAUUUUCAUUACCUCCUUUGAUUAUCCAUACGAAGGAAAAGAGUUGGACUGAGGUCCAAUAAAUUCCCCUAGGACACCCUGCUGGUUAAUUGCAGAACAAGACAUGAUUCCAAGUCUGCUUAUAUCUAAAGCCUUUACAUCACUGCCAUGCUACUGCCACGCUUCUACCCACCUUUCCAAUCAAUCUACUGCAAUAUAUAUAUAUAUAUAACUUAUACAACUC